GAAUAUUGGUCAAUGGGCGCAAGCCUGAACCAGCCAUGCCGCGUGCAGGAAGACGGCCCUAUGGGUUGUAAACUGCGUUUGUCAGGGAAUAAACCCCCGCUCGUGAGCGGGGCUGAAGGUACCUGAAGAAUAAGCAUCGGCUAACUCCGUGACAGAAGCCGCGGUAAUACGGAGGAUGCAAGCGUUAUACGGAUUCAUUGGGUUUAAAGGGUGCGCAGGCGGAUUGGUAAGUCAGGGGUGAAAUCCCACAGCUCAACUGUGGAACUGCCUUUGAUACUGUCAGUCUAUAGUAUAGGUGAAGUUGGCGGAAUGUGUCGUGUAGCGGUGAAAUGCUUAGAUAUGACACAUAACACCGAUCGCGAAGGCAGCUAGCUAAGCUAUAACUGACGCUCAUGCACGAAAGCGUGGGGAUCAAACA
rnacentral:rRNA from 1 species